UUGAUAACGGUAUACAAAGAAUUUUUGUUGUCUUACAUGUCUCGUGACUACGUUUUGUGCACCCAAAUAACGAGAUUUGCCCAGACGACUGUACAAAAUAUUUACAUAUUGGUAACAUGUACCUGGGUGUCGAUGUGAUGUAUCAGCUUUCAAAACAAGGGUGCCAGUCCAACCCUGAGCCAAUAAGUGAUUUUCCAAGAAAGAUGUCGGCUUUUCCUUAUCACAUUUUGCCAGGCGAUUAAGAAAAGGUAUACCUUUAGUAAUUCCGUUUUUGCUCGGAUGUACCUGCUCAGUCCAAAAUCAGCACUUUUACAUAAAGAGAGACAAAAGACCGCAAAUCUGCAUACUCUGGCUUGCCUUUUACGACGAUGCAUCGCUGUAAACGAGAACCAGGUCGUUGAUGACUGUCGCUGGAGGCUGAGAAUUUGCCGCAUGAAGUGCGCAAUACAUCUGAACCAGAUCAGUUCUGGCACAAGUUGUGGCAUCACAGAGAUGAGCGCGGAGAACAGCUGUUCGAGGCCCUUUCCAAGUUUGCCUAACGGCCCUCUCGAUGCCUGUUUCUAAUUCUGAUUGUGAGAGAGAGAGUUGUCAAAGGUCAAAAAUAUAAAGACAAAGUAUCGGAACAAAUUAAUUACUCCCACAGUCAACGGCAUACUUCAUGCAAACUAGGCCGUCAGAACGCAAGGAGGGUGCUGCGGUUUAACUAGCUUACUUCUGUGAUUCGUAAAUUGAAAACUGUGUUUAUUACUUGCGAUCGAUAGCACAAUUCAUGAAUCAAAUGUGGAACAAACUACCAUAAUUCAAACCGAAGAAAGAAAUUCCGAAUUCCGUGCCUUU